AAAACCGAAAAAGAUGUGGAGCCUAA
rnacentral:sRNA from 1 species